rnacentral:tRNA from 1 species
AGAGGUGUCCGAGUGGCUUAAGGAGCUUGCUUGGAAAGCAAGUGUGCGGUAACCCCGUACCGCGGGUUUGACAAAACGGCGGUUGAGCCGUUUUGGACGUAGGCGAAGCCUACGCCCCUUGCGGGUGAGCACACGCCUUAGCGUGUGCGAAUCAAUCCCGCCCGGUUUA